rnacentral:lncRNA from 1 species
UGGAGAAACCCCGUCUCUACUAAAAAUACAAAAAUUAGCUGGGCAUGGUGGUGCAUGCCGGUAAUCCCAGCUACUUGGGAGGCUGAAGCAGGUGAAUCCCUUGAACCUGGGAGGAGGAGGUUGCAGUGAGCCGAGAUCAUGCCAUUCCACUCCAGCCUGGGCAACAAGAGCGAAACUCUGUCUCAAAAAAAAAAAAAACCCAUCUCUACUAAAAUACAAAAAAAUUAGCCAGGUAUGGUGGCACAUGCCUGUAAUCCCAGCUACUCAAGAGGCUGAGAUAGGAGAAUCACUUGAACCCAGGAGGCGGAGAUUGCAGUGAGGCGAGAUCAAGCCAUUGCCAUUGCACUCCAGCCUGGUUCACAAGAGUGAAAACUCGGGCUCGAAACAAAAACAAAAACAAAAACAAAAACAAAAACAAAAACAAACAAACAAAAAAACUACACAGGUUGAGCAUCCCAAAUCAAAAAAUCGCAAAUCUGAAGUGUUCCAAAACCCAAAACUUUUAGAAUCAACAUGAUGCUCAAAGGAAAUGCUCAUCAGAGCAUUGUGGAUUUCAGAUUUUUCAGAUUAGCGUUGUUCAACCAGUAAGGAUAAUGCAAAUAAUCCAAAAUCCAAAAAAAAUUUCCAAAAUCCAAAACACUCUGGUCCCAAACAUUUCAGAUAAGGUAUCCUUACCCUGCAUGAGGGCAACAUUAAUGGUGAAUAAAUAACUUCUUCAGGAACACAACAGACUGGUACAGUUGCCUUUUUAUAUUAAUUAGGCUUAAUAGUGCUUGGAUCCGAUACACUCAAUACUACUACAAACCUUGGAUCAAACUCACCAAACAUAAUAUAGUACUGCGAUUUUCCAUUCAGGUUCUUCUGGUCAAUGUCUGCAGGAAAGACCUUAAUGUAGCCCCCUCCACAGUCCAUCUUCUGCUCAUGUUUUACUGUGUACUGAAUAACCAGAGUUUUCCCUUUAUUGCUGAACGGUUUGAAGCGUGCAGAGAUGGCAUAGAAUCGGCCAUUCUGAGUGGUUUGCAGACCUUUGAACAAAAUAUACUCAUGAAGGAUCAGGAAUGACGCUGCGCUAAGUAACGCAGGAAGUUAAAUCGAUGUCCUUCCCUUACUCCCAAACAUAAAUGUCCUAACCAUUUACAGUGAUCUACAGUGCCAACAGAGCAUUAUACAAUAAUGCAUAAUGGGUAGACCACUAGCAGGCACUCUGCUUCUAUAUAAUUUUUUUUUUUUGACAUGGAGUCUCACUCUGUCGCCCAGGC